rnacentral:tRNA from 1 species
GCCGGCCUUCUGACCUAGUGCGCGCACGCGUCCGAUAAGCGCGUACACGUCGGUUCGAUUCCGACCAGGGGCACCA